GAUGAACGCUGGCGGCGUGCCUAAUACAUGCAAGUCGAGCGAACGGACGAGAAGCUUGCUUCUCUGAUGUUAGCGGCGGACGGGUGAGUAACACGUGGAUAACCUACCUAUAAGACUGGGAUAACUUCGGGAAACCGGAGCUAAUACCGGAUAAUAUUUUGAACCGCAUGGUUCAAAAGUGAAAGACGGUCUUGCUGUCACUUAUAGAUGGAUCCGCGCUGCAUUAGCUAGUUGGUACGGUAACGGCUUACCAAGGCAACGAUGCAUAGCCGACCUGAGAGGGUGAUCGGCCACACUGGAACUGGGACACGGUCCAGACUCCUACGGGAGGCAGCAGUAGGGAAUCUUCCGCAAUGGGCGAAAGCCUGACGGAGCAACGCCGCGUGAGUGAUGAAGGUCUUCGGAUCGUAAAACUCUGUUAUUAGGGAAGAACAGAUGUGUAAGUAACUGUGCACAUCUUGACGGUACCUAAUCAGAAAGCCACGGCUAACUACGUG
rnacentral:rRNA from 1 species